GACGAACGCUGGCGGCGUGCUUAAUACAUGCAAGUCGAGCGGAAAGACCCUGCUUUUGCGGGGUGCUCGAGUGGCGAACGGGUGAGUAAAACGCGUGUAAACCGUCCUUGACUGUGGGGUAACUCUAGGAAAAUGGGGCUAAUAUCGGGUAGGAGCUCUUGCUCCACGGGGGGGGUUGGAAAGUUUCGGCGGUGGGGGCUGGACUCGCGGCUUAUCAGCUUGUUAGUGGAGUAGUGGCUUACCAAGUCUUCGACGGGUAGCCCGCCUGGGAGGGUGACCGGGCACAUUGGGCCUGAGGUACGGCGCAGACGGCUACGGGAGGCAGCAGUGGAGAAUAUUGCACAAUGGGCGGAAGCGAGAUACAGCAGCGCUGCGUGCGGAAUGACGGCCUUCGAGGGAUGAACCGAUGUCGACUGUGACGAGGCGAGAGUGACGGUACUGGGUAAAGAAGCACCGGCUAACUACGUG
rnacentral:rRNA from 1 species